GCCCGGGUAGCCCAGCGGCAGGGCGUCGGGCUGUGGACCCGAAGGUCCCGGGUUCGAAUCCCGGCCCGGGCC
rnacentral:tRNA from 1 species